rnacentral:rRNA from 1 species
AGUGAACGCUGGCGGUAGGCCCAACACAUGCAAGUCGAACGGCAGCACAGUAAGAGCUUGCUCUUACGGGUGGCGAGUGGCGGACGGGUGAGGAAUACAUCGGAAUCUACUUUUUCGUGGGGGAUAACGUAGGGAAACUUACGCUAAUACCGCAUACGACCUACGGGUGAAAGCAGGGGAUCUUCGGACCUUGCGCGAUUGAAUGAGCCGAUGUCGGAUUAGCUAGUUGGCGGGGUAAAGGCCCACCAAGGCGACGAUCCGUAGCUGGUCUGAGAGGAUGAUCAGCCACACUGGAACUGAGACACGGUCCAGACUCCUACGGGAGGCAGCAGUGGGGAAUAUUGGACAAUGGGCGCGAGCCUGAUCCAGCCAUACCGCGUGGGUGAAGAGGGCCUUCGGGUUGUAAAGCCCUUUUGUUGGGAAAGAAAAGCAGCAGGUUAAUACCCCGCUGUUCUGACGGUACCCAAAGAAUAAGCACCGGCUAACUUCGUG